rnacentral:rRNA from 2 species
AUUAAUAAGCGGAGGAAAAGAAACCAACAGGGAUUCCCCGAGUAAGGGCGACUGAAACGGGAAGAGCCCAGCGCAUAACCUGGCGGUCCGAGGAGGCCGUCCAGGGGUGUUGCGUUCCGGUGCGUCCUUGCCGCCCGAGUUGCUGACCGCCUAAGUCAUUGCUUGAAAGCAGCCCCAUGGAGGGUGAUAGGCCCGUGUGGCGGCGCCCUUACAAAGGGUGUAGGCGGCUUGGGCGGGCGGGCGUCCACCGUAGAGUCGGGUUGCCUAGUAACGCAGCCCUAAGUAGGUGGUAAACUCCAUCUAAGGCUAAAUACUCCCACGAGUCCGAUAGUGCACAAGUACCGUGAGGGAAAGCUGAAAAGAACUCUGAAGAGAGAGUUCAAGAGGACGUGAAACCGUUAGAAGCUUAAACGGGUGGAACCGCGAAGGUUGAGCCAGGGGAUUCAGCUCGCCGGGGCGAGCGGUGCGUAUGGCAGGUCAGAGAUUGCUAUGUAUGACCGGACCCGUCGCGGAGUCGCGAGCGGGCCCUGCCGGCGCCCGCACGUUUUUUGGCGGGCUUACUUCUCCCUGGCGACAGUCGCCGCGACCCGUUUCGGGGGGCCCAAGGGCCGUGCCGCACUGGUAGUCUGGGCCCUCACGGGCCCGGGCGAGGAGCGGCUGCGGUUCCGGCGGCCGCCUGGGACGGUCGAGAUUCGGGGGGCGCGUCAAGCGUCCCCUCGCGGCGUGCAUGGGAUCGGUCAUCCACCCGA